UUUUUUUUUCGUUCUUAACUUACAGCAACACAGAAUCUUAUAAAGUAUGGAAGGCAGAAACAUGUAGAAAAUGUAUUGCCCAGUAUCGAUGGUAUUGCGAUCCGUGGAGAAUUGUCACAUGUAAUAGACAUGUGACUAAAUUAAGGUGUACAACAGGCUGGACUCACAAUGGAGACUACAACUGUAGCAUCCCAAUAUGUAAACCGAACUGUGGAUCCGUUGGGGAGUGUGUGGCUCCUGGUAAAUGUGAUUGUAAAGGUCUAGCAGAAGGUCAGUAUUGUCAGGAGUGUAAGUUAUUGAAUUGCUUAUCC